CUCUACAUAUGCACAGCUCACUUUCUCAAGAACCUGAAGUACCUGAUCAGUAGGACGUGCCCCAGGUUUGGGUGUUGUUUUAGGUUUGGUUUUUUCAGCAGAUUGACUGUUUUGGAAAAGUACAGUGAAGAGGAAAUCCUAACUAAGGAAUAUGAGCAGAGGACAGAAAGAAGAACAAAUAUACAGCUUGAAGACUGUAAGAAAUAGCAGCAACAGAAGUACCUGACACUGGAGAUGGACUCUGUCACCUUUGCAUUUGGUGGUAUUAAACACCAAGGAAAUGAGAAUCACAGAAUAUGCUGAGCUGGAAGGGGCUUACAAAGAUCAAGUCCAGCUCCUUGUCCUGCGCAGCAUCAUCCUCAAGAGUCACACCAGGUGCCUGGGAGUGUUGCCCAAAUGCUUCUGGAACUUUGUCAGGCUUGGUGCUGUGACCACUGCCCUGGGGAGCCUGUUCCAGUGCCCAAACACGCGCUGGGUGAACUUCAGCAGGUGAAAGCGAUGGAUUCUGAUGAGAUGCCAAAAAGCAGCGCCAUGGAGAGGGCUCUGGGGGCAGAUAGAAUCUGAGCCAGCAGUGCCCUGCAGCCAGGAGGGCCAGCCCUGACCUGGGGGGCAUCAGGCACAGCAUCACA